CUCAGGAAGAAUGCUUCAGCCAUUGUUGGUGGACAGCCUGAAGCAAAGUGAAAGCACCCACCAACUCAACUGCAGCUCAGGAGGACAAGGCUUCCUCCUACCCCUCUUCAGACCAGGAGGCUCUCAGGCAGAAGUAAAGCCCUUGCCACCUGGAGUCUGCAACAGGAGAACUGAUAAGAGACAUGAAAGCCUCUGGGGCCAGCACUCGGGAUUCUCUGUCACUUGGAGGGAGCUGGAGACUCCCCAGGUCAGGACACAAGAAAGGAGAAUACUGGACAAGGGGACCGAGGCCAGAAGACUGUGAGAGGAGAGCAAAUCGUGAAUGAAGAUUGACUGAGUAUAUCUCGAAGAGGAUAAAAAAAACGAAUCCAGGAACUGGGUACAGAAAAUCAAGUUGUUCCAGUGGUAGCCUCCUAAAUCUGCACCUUGUUGAUUGUGUCACUAUGGAAACUGGCAAUACAGUUCAGCAAUGUUUUUUGGGAGUAAGCCCUGAAGGCACAGCCAAAAGUCUGAUUUUCCAGCUCUUCCUACAAUGC
rnacentral:lncRNA from 1 species